CGAGUCCGCUGAUCCGCGGCCGAUCUCAUUUAAGAGGCAAGAACAUCACAAAUUGAAGAAAUCACAUGGAUGCUUACAGUUAUUGGUAUGGAUUUUCGAUCGAGUGAUCCUGGAUGCCAACGCCCAUAUCCUUUUCUAGUGUGUUCGAGGCUUCCAAUUGUUGAAUCGAUGGAGGCUGGCGCUGCGUUCUUCCAUCGGUUCUUCUUUCUUUGUAGUUCACGAUUGAUCAAUUCUUCGUGAGAUUCGUGUGAGCGCAUAUACAUACAGGAGAAAAACAAUUCAUUGUUAGAUUAUUAAUUGAUGAUUGCAAGAAGACAAGAUCAAUCAAUCAAUCUCCUGAUUAGUUUCUUUCCUUUUUGUACGAGGAACAUCUCGUCUCCGCCGUGAAUCGCGUGGUGGCCGAAACUCUAGUAGCCAACUUCUCCAGACUUGUCCAGUCAUCGUCUGCGGCAAUUGCAGAUCGCCGGAGUGGCCUCCUCUGGCCAUAGAGAGGCCUUGCCGUUUGCCGCCGCUGUCGUCGGCAGUCAUGUGGCGGAUUGAAGCGCCGGAGGGCGCCGCUUCGACGCGCCUACAGAGGAGGGCGUCGUCAACCAUGGGGUGCCUCAGCCGCCUGCAUCGCGCGCUGGUGCUGCGCCGCUGGAGCGCUGUCGAGGCCGAGGGUCCUUGUGUCCUUGGGGCCGGAGGGAGUCGCCGCCACAGCCGUGUAUCAGGCCGAUGGUCAGGGACGGUGGUGCCGUCGAGUUCUUGGCCUAAUUGCUCUCUGGAAGAGGCGUGCGUGAUAACGUGUUUAGAGAGAAACGAGAGAGAGGAGCAAAUGAUGGAACAGUUCUUUCAUUGAUUGAACAUUGGGGUAUUUAUACCCUCGUUACAAGGCGGUUACAAAGGA